rnacentral:lncRNA from 1 species
AUUUCUUUAAGAAUGAAAUUUAAUCAGUUCUCAACACUUUUGAAUAAUGAUUUGCUCUAUGAAAGUGAGCUGGCAGUUCUGAAAAUAUUUUUCAGGGCCCUGUGCCCACUCACACUGAGACUAGGCAGACAUCUUGCUGUGCUGUGUUGUUGCAACUCCCUUUUUUCCUGACAGUGGAUUGAGUGAGGAGGAGACCCAAAUGAUAGCUGAGACAGACCACAUGCAGAUAUGCAUUCACAGCUGCAUGGUUGGAGCUAUAGCUGGGAUACCCAGAAGCAGAGGAUCAGACCAACAUCAGACCAACGGCUUGCAAGUGCCUUGGCUACAGAUCUCAGUUUAUGUUCUGCUUAAGGAGCAGGAUAUCUGGCAGUACUUUCCCAGAGGAUUUAAUUGAGAAAUCACACUGUGACAUACAGACAGUUUUUGGAAAAGCCUACAGCAAAGAGUAAGUUCCAAACUGCUAUUCUUUAGUAGCUGUAUACAUUAUUGUACUCUCAUGUCUUCAUUUGCUUACUUUU